ensembl:lncRNA
AAUUCCAGUACCACACGGCUGUGAAAGACUGAUCUAUCGUUAUCUGAAGCAUUCAGGGGUUGCAGAUAUUGCUGCUAAAGUUGGCAAUUAGUUUUUUUACAUGGAUGAUAGGUGUUGAUAAAAUAAAAUAAAAACGCUAUGCAAUAACUCAGGUGGCCUUUGUUUUAUGUUGUAUUUUGUUUUAAAUUCUUAAGCUAUUUAGUAUGAUAUAUACACAAAACCAGAAGAAAUCAGGGUGCAGCAAAUACAUUUUCACAGCACUGUUAUUGUGGCCUUUUUAUUUCAUAUGAUACAUUGCUUAAACUUGCUGCAACCACUUCCGACACUUCAAGUGAACCACAAACAUAUCCUGUGCGAAUAUAAUAACAACAGCAUCAUGGUUGAAUUUUCACAUUACUAUAGUGGACUUGUACAACAGCUGACUUUUCAUAGAUCUAAAUCAAACAGAUUGCAGAAUCUAAAAGCCCUUACAAAAAUGUUUAAAAAGUUAAAGUUUGGGAAGAAGAAAAAAACAGCCAGGAAUACACAUGAGCAGUAUCGUCUGAUCAAAGACAUACCAACACAGCACACAGAGACCACGGAUGCAGGAGAACAGGAAAGCACAGUCGAUGAGAUGCCAUCCUGUUCAGGUGUUGAAGUGAGUGGCGAGGCAGGGCUUAAUAUUCUCAGAACAAUUCUUAGUGAACAAUCAAACCCAGAGGACGCGGACACUGCAGCUGCAAUGCCAAAAAUCAGCUUCUCUCAAGAAUGGCAAAAUAAGUACCUUCAGGAAAUAGAUCAGUUUGUGGAGAACCAUUUUCCCAGGCUGCCAGCUGAGAGAACUCAAAAAUCUCAGUUGGAGCAGAUACCGGACUUUCUAAAGAGCGCACAGACUAUGAUAUGCAAUGGUGUUCGUCGAUUAACACCUGCACUGAAAGAUGCUGGGCUGCUAGAUCAUCUGAUGGACAGUUACAGCCGUCACCUCUUUACCAACCUGGACCUGCUGCUAAACAGAGAUCUGUCUGUGAAAGAGAUCUUCUGCCUUCUACUGUGGGGAAAAGAUUUUUUCUUCAGUUCAGAAUCAAAACUGAGAGUGUACGAUCCUCUGCUGUUGACAGGAGGGUUUGAGUGUGCAAAGCAGAAACUACUGCAAGUACUUAAGGGUGACAUCUCCAAGUGUCUACAGAAAAUCCUGUGCGAAGAUGAGGAACAUGGACAUAAUAAGGAAUCAAUGGAUGAAGAAACUUUCUUCCAAGUGCACAUAGAUGUCAUUCAGGUCCUGAAUUGUACUAUUGUUGAAGCUGAAAAGGUUGGUCUGACUUUGAUGCAUGCCGUACAAAUACUCUGUAGUGGAGAGCUGCAUGAUUUUGUUCAGAAGUAUGUGGAUGCUAAGAAUGAACAUCUUAAAAAACUAAAGUUUACAGAGAAAAACUCUGUGAAUCUCUUUCGGCUAAUCAACACCUGCAUGCAACUCAGAUGCUAUGCUGCACAAAUCACUCCAGAUGUUAGCAACAGUGAUGUCUACUCAAGCACUAUAUGCAUGCUACAGAAACUGGAAGAUAAAGCUUCAUCCAUUGUACAAAAUAUCAUGAACUGCUUAGCACAGGCUAAAUUAGAAAGUUUUUUCAAGAAAAGGAAUGGGCAUAUUGAUAUCCUAAUGGAGGCAAUCCAAAAGCAGUGUGCAUCUCUGCCUGAGACUGCCUCAGAGAUCAAAACGGUCAUUGUGAAAAUAGCUUACGACAGUGUUUCCAAAGUGUACCUGGAUUGCCUGAUGAAGACAAACUUCAGAAACCUAGAGCAGCGUUGGGGAAAUGCUGAGGAAAAUAUAAAAGAGGAUGUUCAAUAUUUUCAAGAAACAUUCUCUGAACUGAAUGUCAGUGCUAACCAGCAGAACCAGCUCCUUCAGAGAAUGAGUGAAGUUUUGCUUUGCAGUGAUGUAGAAGCACUGAAGAUUACCUGUUGCAAUUUGUUGAGAGAUUUCCCUCAGGAGAGUAAGCAGUAUGUACCUGGUCUGCUGCGCUGGAAGGGGGUUUUAUCAGAGCGACAGGUGAGGGAAGUGCUGGAUGUGACCCAGGACCUCGGCCUCAAUCUACAGCCUAGACGCGUCACCUGUCAGCCUCUGAAGGGACUUUUUUGUUUUCUUUGAUGUGAAUAACAACAUCAGCCAGAACUGUAAAAUCUUUGUUUAAGUUUAAUUCGAUGACAUGACUGUUUUGUGUUAUUCAUUUAUGAUAUUUAUGUUAUACUGGUACAUAGAUAUUUUCAUCAGAUAUUGUAAUAUUUGCUUUUCCCUGAUGACUUUUUGAUGUUACUUGAAAAUAGGAAAUAAUUUUUAUAUCAGACCACUGGAGAAAAAUGAAUUACCCUUUACUCUUUACCCUUUUAAUCUUUUAUAUGAUAAUUUAAUUUUCACAGAGUUACUCAUUUUGACUUCUACCUUUUACAUUGUUACAAAAGAGGAUUGUAACAACAUGUCCAGCUACUGUAUGAACCUAAAUUAUUGUUAUAUUAUUUAAAUGUUCAGUCAGGACCACUCUGUUUGAUUAAGAUUACUGUAGAGGUCCUGAACAUUAUUUUUGGCGACAGGCUUUACGCUCAAGGGUUCAGAGUCUGAGCUGUCCACAAGCAAACCUCACUGAGGUGUAAACCCCGAAGCCUAAUGCAAUUACCAGAUAUAAAAUUCCAUCCAGAAGUGAUACAAGUCUGUAAAUGAGUCUGGACAAGAUUAAACAAUUAGCUGAUGGAUGAUCUCAUGCGCCUGCAGGGUGAGCGACAGACCAAGGCAAGUGUGACUUUGAAAGAACUUAUAUAGAAUAUAUAUCUUAUUUAAUUGUAGUGGGAGGAGUUGCUGAUGCUGGCUGUCACGCCAUGGUCUUCUUGAACUUAUGCUUGAGCUCCAUUCGUCACUCAGACUACAUUUAUAUUUACAUACAAUUAUAUUUUUUGUAAUUUCUUACAUUUUCAUUUGAAAAUAGGUACAGUAUCUUUUGUGUGAUGUGAUUUGUGUGAGCUCCAUUUUUGUGCACACAGAUCAUAAUCCCUUGGUGUUCUUGACCCACAUGUCUAACCCUAAUCAACGUUUAAUGUGUUGAAUAUUAUUUUGAUAUCCGGCACAAGAAAAUAAUUGACAAACAUCAUUGCCAAUGCCCUGUGCAGAUUUCAUUCCUUUGACAAUUAAAAAAAUGUGUUUUUUUUUUUUUUUUUUUGUGAUUCAUUAUAUUAUCUUAUAACCAGUGGGUGGCUUUGUGAAUCUUUUACCUCAUUUGUGUUGAACUUACUGAAGUAGUGUUUUUUUCCUUUGUUUAUCUGAUUGCACUCCAUGAUUGAGGGGAAUGGGAGAAGUGUUACCUUCUGAGUCUGUUUGAUUCAGCUGUUUUUGUUGUUGUUGUUGUUGUUGUUGUUGUUGUUGUUUUGCUUCACAAGUUUAAUGAUUCAAUUGUUUUUGUGGGGUUUGUAGGGAAGUGGGUGCAAUUUGUUUUGAAGUAGACCUUCCCCCUGUUAAUGUUAGUUGGGGAGUUAACUUAUUUUGCUGGAUUUUUGUUUUCUGCCUUUUUAGUUUAGUUAUAGUUGGUUCAUAAGGAGUGAGUUAUUUUUGUUGUUUUAGCAAUAUCCCAAAAUCUUUUACGAAAUAUAAAAAUUGUGAUUUGCAGUUUUGUUUCAUAAAGAAUUUCAGUAUGUACAAAAUGAUUGCAAAAGCAAAAUUCAUGUGAUCCUCACUAUGGAAAAGAAGCUCCUGCUAAACUGGAGUGAGUCCUGCUUUUCACUGAACUGAUUCUGGAUGCAAGUGAAACUCUUCAGGAUAUUUCUGUGGUCUGAUGGAAAAAGAUUUCCCUUGAGUCUCAGCCGAGCAGAAAUAUGAUGCUGACUGUAACAAGAAUACAGACAGGAGAAAAACACAGUGGUCUUAUUUUUCCCCUGAAUAAUCGCACAGCAGAAACCACCAAACUUAAGAUCAGGGUAAAGCAUCAUCAGACGUGCCAGCUCUAAUUUUGCACUCUUUAGAUCCUGUAGUUUCAGGAGACCUGCUAAUUUGAGAAUUUCUUUCAAACAGUCCAUAUUUGAUCCCUGUGAUAAUGAAAUUUCACUGUGUUUGAUUUAAACUUGUGUUAGUAUGGUAUACAAAAUUUUGGGAUUGGCUUGAAUCUGUGGAACUGUUGGACUAUUAAUGUCAAUGUCAAACUUUUUCAAAAAUAACCUACUGUAUUCUCCAACUGGCCACUGUAAUGUGGAUUAUGAAAAAAUAAACCUCAGAGAAUUUAUGGUAACUGUGUCUUGUAAUCAGCAUCAAAUAAUUCCAGUACGCACAUCUUUAUAGUUAUUUGCUGCUUUGUGUGGCGAUUAUGGGAGUACAUGUAACAGACAUCUUAAGUUGGAUCUUAAGUUACCCACAUAUGACUGUUGGAUGUGUACUUGUUCCUACUGCAAUUAAAAGCAUUUAUUAUUAACUAGUGAUCAUCUGUCCUGUUUAUUUUGAACCUUUUUGAAUUCCCUGUAUUGGAUAUGGUAUUUGGUGACUGACUCCAUUAUAUUCUUGAAAGAUCACAUUUUUUAAUGUUGACUUUUUUGUGUCUUAGCAAUCAUGCUGAUAUAAUAUUAAUAACAAUAAUAAUAAUGAUAAUAAAAGGUUCCAGUCCUCCUGCGACCUUACAGUGAUAAGCUGAAGAUAAGGUAUAGAGAAUGAAUGGAUGGAAAAUAAUAAUAGUGACUGAACCCAAUAGAGAAUAAUUAAGAAUUAAAGUACUGCAAAAUCAAUAUCUAACCUCUGAUUUAUAAAUGUUGCAUUUGUCAUUUAAUACGGAACAGUGCUCAACCUUUCUUCUCAAACCUGCUGCAACUAUUUCCGAUACUUCAAAUGAACCACAGUCAUAUCCUGUGCAUAAGAGAAGAACAAAAAUAUCAUGGUUGAGUUAAAUUACACCACUUAUUACACCUGUACAAAAGCUUACAUUUUCAUAGAUCUAAAUCAGACAGGCUACAAAAUCUAAAAGCCCCUUUUAUAAAGUGAUAUUACAUUUUGGAGUACAAUAAAAACAACCAAGAAUAAAGAGCGGCAUCCUCUGGUGAAAGACAUGCAAACACAGUAUACAGAGACCUCUCUUGGUUAGACAAUAUUUUAUUUUAAGAAAGUUAUUUUUGUAACACUUUACAAUAUUUGUUAACAUUAAUGCAUUAACUAACAUGAGCUAGCAAUACAUUUGUCACAGUAUUUAUUAAUCUUUGUUAGUGUUAGUUAAUAACAAUACAACUGUUCUUUAGUUAAUGGUAGCUCAGUUCUAUUAAAUAACAUAUACAUUUUUUAUUUAUUUAAAAAAUGUAUUAGUAAAUGUUGAAAUUAAUAUUGACAAAGAUGAAUAAAUACUUUAGAAAUAUUUGUCAUUGUUAAUGCUAUCUAAUGCAGCUAACUAAUGGUAAGACAUUGAACCUUACUGAAAAGUGGUACCAUUAUGUUAAUUGAAUCAUUUAUGAAUCAGAGUUGACUUAGAUGUCACUCAGGUAACUCUUGGAAAGAGAGAAAAAGUGAAGCUACUUAACUAUUAGCUAUAGACUAAGCUAUUUUUAGUUUCUCGUGUAAAAAAGUGUUAUUUAUGAAUAUGAUACAUUGCUCACUGAUUUCAUAUUUUGUUUUCAUAGUUCCUGGAUUGUGCUGUUUUAGAUGCUCAGAAGGUUGGUCUGACUUUGAUGCAUGCAGUACAAAUACUCUGUAGUGGAGCGCUGCAUGAUUUUGUUUAGAAGUAAGUUUAUCUAUCUUGUAUUAUACCUUUACCUAAAGUUCACACACUAAAGCGGUUCUCAUUUAAUGAGUUUCCAGUUAUGAUCUUUUUAGUCUAUGGUUGUUGGAGUGUGGAGGCUUUUAAUCCUGUACUUAAUGUAAAUAUGUGUUUUCUUAGAUAUAUGGAUGCUGAGAACUAACGUCUAAAAAGACUAAUACUUACAGAGAAAAACUCUGUGUAUCUGUUUCGGAUAAUCAACACUUGUAUGCAACUUAUGUAUGCAACAACACUUGUAUGCAACUGGUAUUUAUUAAUAAUGAUUAAAAUAAUGAACUAAUACAUGGAUUUAUUAAUAUAUAUAUAUAUAUAUAUAUAUAUAUAUAUAUAUAUAUAUAUAUAU